rnacentral:rRNA from 1 species
CUUAUUUAGUAUUAUGGUAGUUGGUUAUGUUAAAAGCUAACCAAGCCUUAGAUGCUUAGCAGGCUUUAACGAGUGAUCUGCCACAACGGGCUUGAAAUAGUGCCUGAACAUUUAUGGCAGCAGUAAAGAAUCUUGGGCAAUGCAUUCAAGUGUGACCCAGCAAGUCUCCGUGGAUGAUGAAGAUAUUAAAUUAUAUUGUAAAAUUCUAUCUUUUUAUAUUUAUAAUGAAAUAUAAAAAGGAAAAGCACAGGCUAAAUUCGUGCCAGCAGCCGCGGUAAUACGGAUUGUGCAAGUCUUUGACCUCGUGACUAGGUGUAAAAGGCCACAUAGGAGGUUAUAUAAGUUAUUGAGUAAAUACAGGGUAUAAACCUUGGAAUCUCAAUAAAAACUUUAUAACUAGAAUAUAAAAGGGGUUUAAGAUAUCUUCUAAGUAAAGG